rnacentral:lncRNA from 1 species
UAUUGAAGGCCUGAAAUAUGCAUUAUACUUUGCUAUCAUUUGAAAAGGAUAUUUUAUGCAGAAUUCUUAGCAGAACUACAUGUGUAACCACAUAUUGCUAAAAACACGAAAUCUUAAAAUUAGCAAGCUUUAUUUUUAUGUAUUCUAGGAAUUUUGGGAUACAUAUUAAUGGAGUAAUGAACUUAUUUGUUGCAUGCACAGCAUAUUAAAGUGAUUAAUUGCCAAGGUUCACUGUAAAUUGUGACUUUACAAAUAUAUUUUUUUUUCUCUCUUGUAUGUGAAAAAGAAUAAGAGCUGGGGAGCCAAGUGGAAACUGACUUCAGGAUGAUGAUAAUGUGUUUAUUUCCACUGCUCCAUUUUAGACUGCAAGGAUUGAUGUUUAAAAUGUUGCUUAAAUUGUCCUCUGUGGAUUCUGCUGCCCCUCAGAAACUUUUGUGAAAUACAGUUGUGUUGCUUGAAGUGAAGAGAGAAGUACUUCCUGAAGAGAGAGAUGGCUCUUAAGUCUGACUUCCUUAACUAAAUCAAGACUCUGCAUUUUAGCCUGAAGAAUCUGGCAUGUAUUUUAAGAGGACUUUAUGUUGCUAGAGCUUAAGCAUUAUUGCUGUGGUACUUCUCAAAGUUAUCAUUUAAUUUAAAUAUAGUGAUCAGGUUUACUUUAUAAACUGUAUAUAUAAUUACUUUCCAAUGUUUGAUGUAGCAUGGUUGAAAUUAAGUGGUAACAUGAAACUUUCUUAAAGCAAAAUCAAUUUCCCUAUGGUAAAAUUUAAUAUUUUACAAGAGUUUCUGUGCUGAACUUAAGAAUAUGUCUAUGAUGUGUUGAAACAAACAGUAGAAGAGUAGCAUUCACAGGAUCUGAUGAGAAAGCAUAUAUGGUUUCAACUGUAUUCUCCCUCCCCUUACUUUCAGUGUGGUAAAAUGACUAUAUUGAAUCUUAAAUUGUGGUUAGAGUAAAAUUGGAAUUAUAAAUAUUCAGUCUGCGCCAAAUUUAAGUCAUGUUGCAUGUGACUCCUUGAAGGAAGCUCUCUCUUAUUUUCUAGAGAAGCUUGGUGUUUAGUCAGUGGAAAAAACAUACUGACCCCAAAUUCUCUGUUCUGUCAUAUAUUUGUUGACAGUGAUAUGACAGGAUUUUUUCUUCUUCCUCUUUAAAAAUACUGUUAUGAGUUGUUCAUGGAAAUAACAUGAGAGGAGUCAGAGUACUUCAUAGCAAACAAAGGUAAUCGGUAAGCGUGUUGAAGUCUGAUUUCAUUUUCCACAUGUUAUCUCCUUGAUGAAAUGCCCUUUGAUGUCAUACAGACAAGUAAAUAGAAAUGUAGCUUCUGCAUGUUUUUAAUUCUCUCAUGAGUAAAAUAAUUUAUGAGUUUAAAAACAAAAAGAAUCUGAAAUUUUGAAAGUCGAAAAUAUACUUGUCACUUGCCUGAAUAUUUUUUUUCUUACUGCUCAUUUUUUGUGUUUGUGAAACCCAGCCAAGAUCAUUACUGUUACUUAUGGGCCUCUUAGUUAUUAUUUUGUACAAUAACUAUGUGAACUUUGGAAAAAAAAUUUCACAGUAGAAAUUCUAUUCUGGAAUUAAUAGUACUCAAAAUGCUUAGUAGCACAUCCCUGGUUUAGUUUUCAUUUGGAUAUAAAUUUGUUUUUUAUAGAAACAUUAUGUAAGAUUUUAUUCAUAAUGAUUUUGCUUGACUAUAUGAAAUGAAGGAAUGGAAGAUUUAAAGCCUAUUAACAGAUUUUUUACAGCUUUUUUUGUUUUGAUACCGGAUGUUGAACCCAACAAUGCUCAAUCACUGAGCCAUAUCCCAAGCCCUUUUUAUUUUUUAUUUUGAGACAGGGUCUCACUGUUUUCUUAGGACUUUGCUAAGUUAUUAGGCCCUGGGAUUAUAGGGGUAUGCCACCAUGCCCAGCUAAAAUUUUUUCCCCUUAAAAUAUUCAACUAUUCCUUCUACUUGGUCUUUUAGUGUUAUUGUUAGUUUGGGUUUUGACUAGGUAAUAAGAAUGCUUUGUCAAAUGAUCAACCAGUCACUCUGUUAUUCUCUUUAAAAAGUUCUCUUUAAUAGAUUUGCCUCAGGCCAAUCUAGUAUUAUUAUCUUAAAAAUUCAGUAUGUUUAAGCACUGAAGGCAUGCCUGGCACUUAGUAAACACGUAUUUAGAAAGAAUUACUGAAAAAUAAGAGAGAAGUUUGCUUUGUAUAAAAAGUUGUAUCAUCAGAUAACUAUCAGAUGAAGCCAGAGAAUAUGGAAGUAUUGUUUUAUCCUUUAAUUUUCUUCCCAGUUUAUAAUACACUGAAAAAACCAAUGCAGUUGGAAGAAUUUAUAGUUUAUGAACUAUUUUAUAUGCUAUUUUUCCCUAACUAAGUUUUGGUUGUUUGAUCAUAUCUAUUUGCAAUUGGUUCAUCUUGCACUUUUGAACAAGUGUAACAAUUGUUGGUAAAUUAGACGUAAAAUGAGGUGAAGUCUGUAUGGAUUGCUUUGCUUUACCUGCGUUGAGCCUGUCACAUGGUGUUUAUCAUAGCAAAUGUCCCCAAUACAAGCCCUGAUUGGACAAUUGCUUGCCAGCCAUCUGUCUCUUAGUUGUUUUUGUACACACACAUGCAUGUGUGUAAACACACACACACACACAUAUAUACACAAUCAUUAAUUUACAUUGUUGGUGCUAUGGGCUAUUGUCUUGUCAUCUGCACUUAGUUCUUCAGUGCUAAUGUGCCACUGUGGUAACACUGAAUUCUCUGCUGCUAUAAUUCUAAACUAGCUACAACCUUUUGGAUUACAGCAUGAGUUAGGAGCACAGUUUGUCUUCCUAAUCUCUUUGUUGAUGCUUAACACACUAAAAGCACUUGUUUAAAAUGCCCGUGAUGGUGUGACUGUUUAUCAUAAGGCAUUACUUCUAAACCAGGCAGGCACCUUCACAGUAUUAGGAAAGGACAAAGUUUGCCCUAAGGCACACUGAAAAAUCUCUGGUUGACAAACAUACAUUAUUAUAACUUUAUUAUCCUCACGCAAAGUGCUUUUAACAUGCUGACAUUCAUCUUUUAAACUUUCUGGUUCUCUCUUGGGAGCUGGGUGUUAUGUCAACUUUGCAUACUUAUUUUAGUGGCUUUACAAAAGUGACAAAUGUGUCAGUCUUGAAGGAAAGGACCAGUGGGCUUUUUAAAGAUAUAAAUACCUCUAUGAAUAGCUCUCCUUACUUAGGAUAUUAGUUUUUAAAGAAAAAAGUGGAGUGAUAUAUCACUAAAACUGCUUACCUUCAGUUUUUCAUAGGAUGAAAGAGGUAUAAUAAUUUAGUUAUGUCCAGGUAUAAUUAUGUGCAAUGCUAGAUGAUUUCUUUGAAGACUUGAUUUGUAUGUGCUUUUGAGGAAUAAACUUCUACAUUCAGUAGGUCGCUAAUUAUGAAUACUACUCGAUGGGCUGCUUUUAUAUGUGGUGCAUGAUACAGCAGUUGCUCACCCUUGGUAUCAAGCAUGCUGCCAAAUGUUGUCCUGUCUUACCACGCUAGCAGGUAAAGUGUUGGAAUCUGGGACUUUUACAAUAGACCUAUAAAAAUGCUGAGAGGUUGUCCUGUGAUAGAUAGACUUUAACUUAAGUUUAUGUCUUUCUUUUGUUAAUUUUUUUUAAAAAAUAUUUCUUUAGUUGUCAAUAGGCCUUUAUUUAAUUUAUUUUUAUGUGGUGCUGAGAAUCAAAUCCAGUGCCUCAAACAUUCUAGGCAAGUACUCUGCCACUGAGCCACAACUCCAACCUUGUUUUGUUAACUUUUAAUUUCAUAUUCGUGUCUGUGUUCAUGGAUAUUCAUAUUUAAAACUUUUUGUUGGGACUCUGUUACCUUCUUUCUCAGAACAUUGUGUUGUGGCUGUGACAUAUGGUGAAGGGUUUGCCUGGACUUAUUUUUGGUCUGGUUCUGUUGACACUUUAUUCAUAAGUGUGAGAGCUUUGUGAUAUCUCUCCCAAAUGUAGCCUUCCUAGUUGUCCAGGUCGCCUGUUUUCUUUGGACAUCUGCAGUGACUGAACUCUCCUGUUAAUCAGAUUUGCCUUAACUUGACAUAGGGAUUAAGGACUUUUGCCUCAGAGAUUUUUGGCUAUAUUUUCUAGGCCAUGAAUUCCAACAAGUUAUGGCACUAUAAAAUUUCUUUUGAUCACUCUUCCUUUGUUUUUCUCCUUUCCGAGAGCUUAGCUUUUCAAUCAUAUUUGUCAGUUUCCCUGGCAUUCAAAGUUUCUAGAAUAAAAGGUGUUAUUCAUUUCAGUCUUGGAGAAAUUUUUCAGGAUUAUUUCUUUGGUUUAUAACUAUGACCUUUUUGCUUUACAGAUAAAUGGGAAACAAAUAAAUUUAUUAUACAGCAGAAUUUUGAGGAAGCAAGAGCAUUGAACUGUUUAUUUUCAAAAUUGGAUAUUCAAGUUAUUGUCACGUUUUUGGAGGAGUUUAUUUUAUUUAAGGACAUUUCAUAAAUACAGUUAAUUUAUCUAUAAAAGUAUAUGUUAUAUCUAUAUGUAUAUAUCUGGAGAUUGAGCCCAGGGGCGCUUUACUACCAGGCUACAUCCCCAGUCUUUUUUAUUUUUAUUUGAGACAGGGUUUCCUUAAAUUGCUGACUGACUCCCCUGAGUUGCUGAGGCUGGUCUUGAACUUGUGAUCCUCCUGUCUCAGCCUCCCUAGUUGCUGGGAUUAUAGGCAUGUGUGCCUGGCAUACUCCUUUGAAGGUUAUACACAUGCCACAUUUGUUUAACACUAAACUACUGUAUCCAUGUUAGAAGUACUUUAGUGUUUGGCAGAGGAAAUGCUGUUUGCUUAUGAUAAUUUGACAUAGACUUUUGUUUUUUGAUUUCUUCACUGGUGCAUUUUGUGAUAUCAGAGUGAGUCAGGAUAUGAAGCGUGGCAUUGAGUGUAGUUAUAGUCAAGGUAACUGGCUAAAUUACAUGAUUUGUCAAAUGAAACACACAUUAGUGCCCUUGAAAUUGCAGCUCUGUGCUAGGUGUUGUG